GUAAUGUAGAAAUUCUAUAUCAAUUGCAAUUUCUCUCUACUGCAGUGCCUAACCCAUUCCCUAACCUUACGGUGGCUGCUCACCCCUUUCGCCAACCCACAGAGUGCAGAGGAGAGGAACUACAAUGUGCGCCAUUGCCAGGCAUUUGACCUCAACGCAGCUGCCGUGCACCAGUGUGUGGAUGUGAAUUUGUAGCUUGUAAGAACACAAGGACUGCAUCUGUGAGGACACGGCCGCUGGAGUGUUGUGACGCAUGAGGUGCAGUGGAGACUCCGGGGCUGGGCGCACUCAACUCCUGCUCAGCUGCAGAAACUAAA